GGGCGGGAGCAAGACGGUGGAGGACUUUGAAGAGAAAAUGUGGAAGACAGACAACAUAAAGGCAGAUAAGCACCUGGCAAUUCUGGCCUACAGAAACACGCCGAACGACAAUGAGGGUCAUCCACCAGCACAAAUACUGAUGUCAAUACAGUUAAGAGAUUUGUUAAUCUCAGAUGAAAAAUAAUUGAGACCUCAGAUACAACACAUGAAGGACCAGUGAAAGAGGAUCAGGAGACAGAAAGCAGGAAGCGUGGAGAACUGACCAGAGGGUUUUGGAUUGGAUUAUUUGAUUUGUAACUUGUGAACCAAGAAUAAAAUAAAUUUCUACA